GCCUAACACAUGCAAGUCGAACGAGCGAGAGAGAGCUUGCUUUCUCAAGCGAGUGGCGAACGGGUGAGUAACGCGUGAGGAACCUGCCUCAAAGAGGGGGACAACAGUUGGAAACGACUGCUAAUACCGCAUAAGCCCACGGCUCGGCAUCGAGCAGAGGGAAAAGGAGCAAUCCGCUUUGAGAUGGCCUCGCGUCCGAUUAGCUAGUUGGUGAGGUAACGGCCCACCAAGGCGACGAUCGGUAGCCGGACUGAGAGGUUGAACGGCCACAUUGGGACUGAGACACGGCCCAGACUCCUACGGGAGGCAGCAGUGGGGAAUAUUGCACAAUGGGGGAAACCCUGAUGCAGCGACGCCGCGUGGAGGAAGAAGGUCUUCGGAUUGUAAACUCCUGUUGUUGAGGAAGAUAAUGACGGUACUCAACAAGGAAGUGACGGCUAACUACGUGCCAGCAGCCGCGGUAAAACGUAGGUCACAAGCGUUGUCCGGAAUUACUGGGUGUAAAGGGAGCGCAGGCGGGAAGACAAGUUGGAAGUGAAAUCCAUGGGCUCAACCCAUGAACUGCUUUCAAAACUGUUUUUCUUGAGUAGUGCAGAGGUAGGCGGAAUUCCCGGUGUAGCGGUGGAAUGCGUAGAUAUCGGGAGGAACACCAGUGGCGAAGGCGGCCUACUGGGCACCAACUGACGCUGAGGCUCGAAAGUGUGGGUAGCAAACAGG
rnacentral:rRNA from 1 species